UAGCUGGGCAUGAUCUGAUGAGCUCACAGCCAGGCUCCGGCUUAUGCCUAGCUCUC
ensembl:miRNA microRNA 7688